rnacentral:rRNA from 1 species
AGUAAUGCCUAGGAAUCUGCCUGGUAGUGGGGGACAACGUUUCGAAAGGAACGCUAAUACCGCAUACGUCCUACGGGAGAAAGCAGGGGACCUUCGGGCCUUGCGCUAUCAGAUGAGCCUAGGUCGGAUUAGCUAGUUGGUGAGGUAAUGGCUCACCAAGGCGACGAUCCGUAACUGGUCUGAGAGGAUGAUCAGUCACACUGGAACUGAGACACGGUCCAGACUCCUACGGGAGGCAGCAGGA